rnacentral:rRNA from 1 species
UAGUGGCAGACGGGAUAGUAACGCGUGGGAAUUUGCCCAAUAGUACGGAAUAACUGCGGGAAACUGCAGCUAAUACCGUAUACGCCCUCCGGGGGAAAGAUUUAUCGCUAUUGGAUAAGCCCGCAUUUGAUUAGCUAGUUGGUGAGGUAAAAGCUCACCAAGGCGAUAAUCAAUAGCUGAUUUGAGAGGAUGAUCAGCCACACUGGGACUGAGAUACGGCCCAGACUCC